GACGAACGCUGGCGGCGUGCCUAAUACAUGCAAGUAGAACGCUGAAGGAGGAGCUUGCUUCUCUGGAUGAGUUGCGAACGGGUGAGUAACGCGUAGGUAACCUGCCUGGUAGCGGGGGAUAACUAUUGGAAAUGAUAGCUAAUACCGCAUAAUAGUAGAUGUUGCAUGACAUUUGCUUAAAAGGUGCAAUUGCAUCACUACCAGAUGGACCUGCGUUGUAUUAGCUAGUUGGUGGGGUAACGGCUCACCAAGGCGACGAUACAUAGCCGACCUGAGAGGGUGAUCGGCCACACUGGGACUGAGACACGGCCCAGACUCCUACGGGAGGCAGCAGUAGGGAAUCUUCGGCAAUGGACGGAAGUCUGACCGAGCAACGCCGCGUGAGUGAAGAAGGUUUUCAGAUCGUAAAGCUCUGUUGUAAGAGAAGAACGAGUGUGAGAGUGGAAAGUUCACACUGUGACGGUAUCUUACCAGAAAGGGACGGCUAACUACGUG
rnacentral:rRNA from 1 species